UUAGACGGUAGGGUAUUGGCCCACCGUGGCAAUGACGGGUAACGGGGAAUUAGGGUUCGAUUCCGGAGAGGGAGCCUGAGAAACGGCUACCACAUCUAAGGAAGGCAGCAGGCGCGCAAAUUACCCAAUCCUAAUACAGGGAGGUAGUGACAAGAAAUAACAAUACAGGACUUUUUGGUUUUGUAAUUGGAAUGAGUUAAGUAUAAACCCCUUUACAAGUAUCAAUUGGAGGGCAAGUCUGGUGCCAGCAGCCGCGGUAAUUCCAGCUCCAAUAGCGUAUAUUAAAGUUGUUGCAGUUAAAAAGCUCGUAGUUGGAUUUCUGUUAAUAAUUUAUAUAAAAUAUUUUGAUGAAUAUUUAUAUAAUAUUAACAUAAUUCAUAUUACUAUAUAUUUUAGUAUAUGAAAUUUUACUUUGAGAAAAUUAGAGUGCUUAAAGCAGGCAUAUGCCUUGAAUACUCCAGCAUGGAAUAAUAUUAAAGAUUUUUAUCUUUCUUAUUGGUUCUAAAAUAAGAAUAAUGAUUAAUAGGGACAGUUGGGGGCAUUUGUAUUUAACAGUCAGAGGUGAA
rnacentral:rRNA from 1 species